CAGGGACGACGACGAGAGAUGGAGCAGAUCACGAACGGCGGCUCGCGCCUCGGUUCGUCUCCGACGGCCACCCGGCCGUAAUAAGCGAGCUCCUCCUCAUUCCCGUGGGCUAUGAUACGGUUGCUUGCGAUUGAUCCCCCUGCUCAGGAGGCCCGGCAGGGCAGGUCGCGCCCCGUCGCUGUCGGCGGGAGACCCCGGCGGGGCUGCGGAGAUCUAGAAGACGGCG
rnacentral:lncRNA from 1 species